rnacentral:rRNA from 1 species
AUGAUCUGUUGCCACCAUGCCAGCCGCGUCAAGCUGCACAGCUCAUGCCUGCAGUCGCUGCACUACAAAGGCGGCAUUCCCCUUGAGUCGCUCUUCAAGGUUGCAAACUACAAAGGAGUGAUGGCGCUGACGAUCGAAAUCUGUGAAGACCUCUCCAAAAGGAAAUCAACCGAGGUUGCUCCGGUCACAGGACUCAUCAGCCAGUGCACCGAGCUGGCGUAUCUCCACCUUUCCUUGCGCCCGUCAAUGGCCUACCACAGCAGCUUGUUCGCAGAUGCUGUACGGGGGCUACCUCUCAGACAGUCGGGCCUCAAAGGCUGCCUGCGCGAGGGCCAUGCCGCCCGGUCUGUCGCCGUCUUGCUUCGUGAAACAAAGAACCUGGAAGUACUGUCGCUGUUUCCUCUAGGUCAGCCCAAAAAGAAGGAGUCCUGGAUGUCCGAUGGCGAAUCGGGUACCGAGAUUGAAGACGACGGUGACGAUGAGGUCGACCGUAGUGGCCGUGCGACCGAUAGUUUGUGGCAGAUGUACAUCAGAUGCUUGGGCCAUAAGCUGAGAAGAAUCAGCAUUGUAAAUUAUAAAGGACUGCAACUCGAAAGAAUGCUUGCACAUUUUUUGCUUGACAGGGGUAAGACUUUGGAGGAAUUCUCGGUUACCUCACCGGUUGAAAGUUCCCGGCGAAAGCAUCAGAUGGCCUGCCUGCUAAGAUCCUGGAGACGCAACCGCCAUACCAGAGUAACCGUAAAUUGA